rnacentral:rRNA from 1 species
UACGUAGGGUGCGAGCGUUGUCCGGAAUUAUUGGGCGUAAAGAGCUCGUAGGCGGUGUGUCACGUCGGCCGUGAAAACCUGCAGCUUAACUGUGGGCGUGCGGUCGAUACGGGCAUCACUGGAGUUCGGCAGGGGAGACUGGAAUUCCUGGUGUAGCGGUGAAAUGCGCAGACAUCAGGAGGAACACCGGUGGCGAAGGCGGGUCUCUGGGCCGAUACUGACGCUGAGGAGCGAAAGCGUGGGGAGCAAACAGG